UACAGAGGGGGCAAGCGUUGUUCGGAAUUACUGGGCGUAAAGGGCGCGUAGGCGGCCUUCUAAGUCGAACGUGAAAUCCCUGGGCUCAACCCAGGAACUGCGUCCGAUACUGGAAGGCUUGAAUCCGGGAGAGGGAUGCGGAAUUCCAGGUGUAGCGGUGAAAUGCGUAGAUAUCUGGAGGAACACCGGUGGCGAAGGCGGCUUCCUGGACCGAUUACUGACGCUGAGGCGCGAAAGCUAGGGGAGCAAACGGG
rnacentral:rRNA from 1 species